rnacentral:lncRNA from 1 species
AAAGAAUGAAGGCCUUAUAGCAGUUCCUGGCAACCUGGAUAGAACCAAAUGCUGAGAUUGGUGAUGCUCAUGCCACAAUUCAGUUACUUUGUUAUACUGGUAGAGCCGACCAUUUCUUCCAACAACAAACACUAUAUUCUCCCUAAAGAUUUCUUGGUCUAUUAUGCAUGCAAGUUUGGUUUCUGGAGGGUUUCGGCAAUCUUUCCAUUUGAACUUUCUCAAGGCAACCUACAUGACAUGUAAGGAUGUUGGUUAGUGCAACACUUUGGGAACAAAGUAACGAAUCUGAAUCACUAGUUUUUGAAGACUAGAUAAUGGAAUUAUGUUAUGUUAAUAUUAUAUAUCUUACUCUAACUUAUCUAGUAGUCAAUUGCCCUUGACGCUGCCAUAUCAUUCUGGAUACUCAGAAUGUGGCUCUUCUUAAGGUAUAAUUUGAAAAUUUUCUCUGGUAAGAUGGUUUUAGGUAUAAUAUGGUGAAAAUGUGAUAAACUGAGUCGGUACUUGAAUAUAUAAUUCAAGGCUUGUGUCUCUUAUGAAAGAAUUUCAGAUGAAAAAGCAGCAGGCUUGUUAUCUUUUCGUUUUGGCCUUUUAUUUGUUUUUUCUUAUAGGAGGAAAAGAAGAAAGAAAGAAAAUCCUAAACGAACCAUCUUGUAAUUAAUCUGUUUGCUUUUCCGAUUUUAUUUUAUUUGCUACUUACUGUGAACUGCAGUAGUCUUCCACUUUUGCUCACAAAAAAGAGUGCAUCUUCUGCUGUGACUUUCAGUUUACCAUCCCAAGGAGGGCCUGCCGUAACUUGUGUUCCUUUCCUCAUUGCAGUGCAAUUUAUCCAUGCUAGGUCAUUUCCGCUCCUUUCUCUGAUAAGCAGGGUUCCAUACAUGUCAACAAAAAAUAAACUUCCAUUGUAGUUUCCUACGGAACCUCUCAUAGGUGUUGAAUGGUCGUGCCUUAACCAGAGCCAUACAUUUUCAGUGUAAAGAUAUUCAAACGUCAAACCCUCAUCUGUUACCAUAAAAAAUGAUACACCUGCUUGCAUCAUCCUCAGUCGGAAAUUAGUGCUAGUCCAGUUAUCUGGGAAACUGUAUUCUUUUGAUGUUUCUGCAAGGGCACUCCUGGAUGUGCCUGGAGAUAAGUACUCUUGUUGUGCUUUAUUACCCUUUCUCCUCCUUGUCAGGGAUCUUGUAUUACCUGCUUCGUUUGAUUCAUCUUUUAUACCUGCUAUGCAAUUCAUAGGUCCACGUUCUUCUGUACAAUACUCAGCAUUCCAUCCUUCUGUCUCAGGCGCAUCUAAUAUUGACCAGACAUACUUAGAGGAUACUUUUUUUCUCAUGUUAAAUUGAUGUGUUGGCCCUGAAUUCUCACCACCUAGGCUAGGCAUAUGUAACUCUGCAAGUCUACCAUCAUCCAGUGCAAACAGGGUCCUGCCAAGUUGAAAUCUUAGUCCUGCAAUACCUCUUGCAGCUUUUGCGUCUGGUGGAUGCAUAUGAUUCAGCCAUGUUACUGAGAUUUGGUUCUCUUGAGCUGUACCUGUCUUCACAUGUAAAAGUUAAAUUGAGGAUCUACUGUGGUUGCCAGAUAUCAAGAAGACUGUGACUAGCAGGUAAUGAACAUGCAUCAUUAUCUUAAGACUACAUAAUUUCAUACAUUUUUCUGAUCUUGCUUAGAGGUCUCAUAUAAAAGCCAUGAAUUCCCUGAAUUACAUGUGCAUAAGAAAGGGCAACCCCAUUUGUUUCCCUCGAUGAGUUUACAUGUUUUGCAUGAGAAGUUGGUUCUAGGAACUUAAGAUACUUAUAUUGUAGUUAGAUAACUUUUUGUGGCUGACAUUUGAGUCUUCUUCAUUAUUCAGUUAAACUCACUGAUCUAAAAGUUGCUUUUCAAAGUCAUUCUGUAACUUAUGUUACUUCUAAACUUAAUGUUGGUUGCUUUAUCAUCUACUCCCUCGUUGACUUUCUAAAGUCUACUGUCAAGGCCCCUUAACUCAUUUUUCCUUUAGCUCUUUUCAUGAUUCUUCAGCUUUAUACUGAUAAGAUAAUAAACUGAUAUAUAUAUAUGUGUGUAUAUAUAUAUGUAUGAUUAUUUAGGUGGGACUAAGACAAAUAUUUAAUUUUGAAGGCCACCUGGUAUAUGUAUAGUCAGAUUGUGAAAAUAUCUUAAUAUCAUUGAUUUCCAUAUUUCGCAGUUACCUUUAAUCUUAAUAUUUCUUCUCUACUUUUUUUGGACUGUGCUAGGUUCUCUCAUGUUCUCAGAUCAUAACUGGUUUCUUGCAAGAACUACAAUGGUGGUUCCUUAGAGUUAGAGGGGAUGUUCAAUAGAAUUUAGAAGUAUACUCUGAUGUGGCUUGGAAUGAGAUUGUUAUUGAUAUCAAUAACUAGAUGUCUGAAAAAACAGUGUUAUUUGAACUUAGGGUUAGUUUUGUUUAUGGGUAUGCUUCCAACAUGGAUUUGUUCAGAUUCUUAAAUGUUUUUUUUCCAAGAUAGAUUAAUAUAUGACAAAUGCAGGUACUUCAAGAAAAUUGAAGAGUUGGAGUUACAUAGCCAAAAAAAAGAAAAAGCUAUUUGGGGACCAUUCAACUUAACCUUAUAAAUAACUAAUAUGUUUAAAGUUACCAUUCAAGGAAGAUUACCUAUCAAGCUAUUGAUUUUUUCCAUUUUUAAAGGAAGAAGAGAAGAUUGCUGGUACUUUUUGUUGGAGAAUCUCAUGGAUUCUUUAGGUGCAAAUAAUGUAGUGCUGUAAAUCUAUAAUUGUUUCAAACUUGUAGGGAUAGACUGAUAUUUUGAGAUAGGAUCCUGAUUUCUUUCCUAGAAUAACUAUUGUAUCAUUGGGAAUAAGAAACAAUAAAUAUUUAUGUUAUCAGAGCUAGGUAUUCCUAAAAACUUUUCUCCAUUCAUUUACAUCCUUUUGUUGAAACCUUAGUCUAAGAAAACUUAUCAACCUUCAUUGUUGAAACCUUAGUUCAAAAACCUAUCUUCCUUCAUUGCUGAAUAUCACCUUGAAAAUGGCUAGAAUCUGAAAUAAUUCCUCAAACACUUACUGAAAUAGUCAAUCAAAUGGGGGACUACAGAAUUUGAACCCUGCUUAUCAUCUCAAUUGAAGAAACUAUCUGCAGUGGUUACAAAUUGUCAAUGGAAAAGGGAAUCUAAGUCAUUAGUCUGCUCCAACCAUAAUUGAUCCCAAGUUCAGUGCAUGGGUUGAAGAAGAUUCCUUGAUUAUAUGGUGGCCUUUGAUUUCUAUAGAUUCUAAACUAGGUGGACCUUUUAUGUUCCUUUCAACUACUUGAGAAAUAUGGGAGGCAAUAGGUCAAUCCUAUUACAAGAUCGAUGACGUAGCCCUUAUUUUUUGAGAUCAAAACCAAAAUAUCAGCCACUAAGCGAGGUACAUUCUUCAGCUGUAAAUAUAGUAGUGCUGUAGAUCCAUAAUUGUUCCAGAUUUGUAGGGAUAGACUGAUUUCUAGGGAUAAACUGAUUUUUUGGGAUAGGAUCCUGAUUUCUUUCCUAGUGUAACUAUUGUAUCUUUGUAUAAAUGUACAAAGCUGUUAUUUGGAUAAGAAAUAGCAAAGGUUUCUUCACUUUUUAAUACUACUUGACUUACCUGAAUGGUUUGGUAUUCGAAACUCAAAAACUGAUCCGGUGGAUGUAGUGAGAAACAAUGAGAUGAAUAUUUCAUUUGGUUCAUCUUCGAGCAAGGGAGUAAUAGAUGUCAGGUGAUGAUCUUCUGGACUUUCAUGAUUUAUCCAUUUCCAUUUCCUUUGAUGUAGUCGUCUCUCUACCAACUUACCUCCCUAUAUAUUAAAGGAAGUCCAUUAGACAUGACAUUAAAUUUAGGAUAAUAGGAUAUGUACGCAUUGUGUUAUUAGUUUGUAAGUAGCAGUGAUAUGGUAGGAAUGUUUAUGCAGAGUACCUUUGUUAGGAGAAACAAGGAUAUAGAGUGAUCUCCAAUCAAGCCAUGUAUGGUGCACCCCAUGAGUGGUAUUAGAGAACCCUCUUUUGAUGUAUCUACACUCUUUAGAUGCUUUUUCCAUGAUGGCCUUGAGUUCUUAUCAUAUUCAUAGAGAUCACCUGCAGAACUAUUGCACCAUUUCAUGUUUAACCAACUUUGGUGAAUCUUAAAAGUGAAAUAAACAACGGGUUAUAGUUUAUACUCUGAUAGCAACAUGCAUAGACAUUUGUGGCAUUCACACAUAACUCUUUCUUUUAUACCUUAGGAUCUUGUUUUGGAGAAGCAUUUUAUUUUAUUGUGCAUUCAUUUCUCCAUUUGACAAUAGUUAGAAGUUAAUGGCAAAAUAACAUUUGCGAAAAAUAGUGGAAUGUUCCACAAAAAAUUUUAGCUUUUGACUAUCUUUGAGUCAAAUUUGAAAUAGCAGUAAAAUUGCACCUGCACCUGUUCAAAGUUGAGCUGUAAAUUUGAUCCAUCAUCUUAAGUAGAGUAGGAAUAUUGAACCUUAUACCAAAACUAAUAACAUAUGCCUUGUUAGACUAAAGAUUUUCAAUAUCUCUUUGCUGGAUAAAAAGUAAGACUAGAGGAUUUUGGAUGUUUCUCUACUUCUGGAGAGAAAGGGAGAGCACCUUAUUGUAUAUACAACUUCUGUUCUAAUUCUAUCUGCAUCAGCAAUUGCUGUGACAUCUGCUCCUGGUGGCCGGCCAUGAUUCUCCCACCUGCUCUAUAUUUACAAUUACAACACAUAAGCCAUACUGUAUAUUAGAGUCUGCUAUUGAAAUCUGAAUCUCAUUUAUAGACUGGCAUAUAAGAAUUGAGUCAUCAAUGGUAGCAACGGAUGAAGUUCUCUAUUUGCUUUAAGACUUUGAAAGGAAAAGGUUUCUACCUUGGAGGUUCAACCUCACUGAGUUCUAGCAACAAGCCGUUCUUUGUGCAGAAAUAAACUCUCCUACAUUGAGUUGAGAAAAACAACGAAACUGUUAGUAGUGGGAAAUUGCAUACGUAUUGCAAUGAAAUUUGAUCACGCCCCUCUAUCAUGUGUUAUUCCCUGAAACAAAAUUCUUGAUGUUGAAUUAAUGUACUUACUGUCCAUCAUAUGAAACAGUACUGGACUUUAUUUGAAUCACUGAACUCUGUUCUGCUUCUUCAUUUGUACUUUGAUUGAAUGCAGGUUUGAACUCCACCCAUAUUGGUUGCAAGUUGUCACCGAGUUGCAUCUGAAAAAAGGAAGAUAAAUCAGCCUAUAAUAACAAGGAACCCUUGUGGUCACAAUACAAGUACGUGCCUUUUGCAAGAUUUUGUUAUAUUAUUCUGGCUACGGAUUCAAAAAGUUGAGGAUGGGGUUUUAAAGUAUUCUAAGCUAAAAUAAUAGAAGUGGACAAUUUACUCUGAAAUCGUUUGUUUUCAGGAUUUUAAGAAGUGAGCUUUUUUGGGUUUGGUAUAUUGGUUAAUUUUCAAACAUGUUAGAGUGAAACUUUGCUCCUUUCUGUUUCAGUAAAUUGAUUAUCACUUGAGCUACAGAAGUCCAAUUGAGGCGAUUCAAGAUGUGUUGAGAAGCUAAUUGAAAGAGCUACAAGUUCAAAAAGGCAACUUAGGCUAACUCCACUUGGAUCAAACACAAGAUCAUGUCAAAAUUCAUGUGCUGUUUUUGGUCGAGGUUUUGAGUUCUUUCGGGAAUAUGAGUUCAUGUAAAUUUACCCCCCACCCAUGCACGCAUCACACUAUCCCACUUUCCUCCCUUUCGUGUUCAACCAUACUGUUGAUGUGUUCUGUAUUGGUGUCAGCCUUGUUACCUGUUAGCUAUGAUUGAAAUCUAUCUUUAUACCGGUGGAGUUGUGCCUGAGGCUCUCCAUUAAUGUUAUACAUAUUUCAGAAAUACCGUUGGCCCAUUGGAUUCCUUUCCUACUUCCCUUUGUUCCAAAAUAAUUGAAAUUUGGCUUCAUGGUUUUCUAUAUAUGCAUGACCAUCAAAGUCGUUCUAUGUGCAUGCUAUAUUUCUAUUCUGAAGCUCUUAUGGACAUU